rnacentral:tRNA from 1 species
AGAAAGGUAAGCUAAAUUAAGCUACCAGGUUCAUACCCUGUUUAUAGAGAUAUAUCCUCUCCUCUCUA